rnacentral:rRNA from 1 species
AGAGUUUGAUCAUGGCUCAGAACGAACGCUGGCGGCAGGCUUAACACAUGCAAGUCGAACGGAUGUAGCAAUACAUUAGUGGCGCACGGGUGAGUAACGCGUGGGAACGUGCCUUUCAGUUCGGGAUAACAUCGGGAAACUGAUGCUAAUACCGAAUAUUCCCCCCGGGGGAAAGAUUUAUCGCUGAAAGAUCGGCCCGCGUAAGAUUAGGUAGUUGGUGGGGUAAUGGCCUACCAAGCCUACGAUCUUUAGCUGGUCUGAGAGGAUGAUCAGCCACACUGGAACUGAGACACGGUCCAGACUCCUACGGGAGGCAGCAGUGGGGAAUAUUGGACAAUGGGCGAAAGCCUGAUCCAGCCAUGCCGCGUGAGUGAUGAAGGCCUUAGGGUUGUAAAGCUCUUUUGUCAGGGAAGAUAAUGACGGUACCUGAAGAAUAAGCACCGGCUAACUUCGUGCCAGCAGCCGCGGUAAUACGAAGGGUGCUAGCGUUGUUCGGAAUUACUGGGCGUAGAGCGCGCGUAGGCGGCUAUACAAGUCAGAGGUGAAAGCCCGGGGCUCAACCCCGGAAUUGCCUUUGAAACUGCAUAGCUAGAGUGUCGGAGGGGAUAGCGGAAUUCCUAAUGUAGAGGUGAAAUUCGUAGAUAUUAGGAGGAACACCGGUGGCGAAGGCGGCUAUCUGGACGACAACUGACGCUGAGGCGCGAAAGCGUGGGGAUCAAACAGGAUUAGAUACCCUAGUAGUCC